rnacentral:rRNA from 1 species
UACAGAGGUCUCAAGCGUUGUUCGGAUUUAUUGGGCGUAAAGAGCGUGUAGGCGGCCAGACAGGUCCGUUGUGAAAACUCGAGGCUUAACCUCGAGACGCCGAUGGAAACCGUCUGGCUAGAGUCCGGAAGAGGAGAGUGGAAUUCCUGGUGUAGCGGUGAAAUGCGCAGAUAUCAGGAAGAACACCCGUGGCUAAGGCGGCUCUCUAGUACGGUACUGACGCUGAGACGCGAAAGCGUGGGGAGCGAACAGG